UACGGAGGGGGCUAGCGUUGUUCGGAAUUACUGGGCGUAAAGCGCACGUAGGCGGCUUUGCAAGUCAGAGGUGAAAGCCCGGGGCUCAACCCUGGAAUUGCCUUUGAGACUGCAUCGCUAGAAUUGUGGAGAGGUAAGUGGAAUUCCGAGUGUAGAGGUGAAAUUCGUAGAUAUUCGGAAGAACACCAGUGGCGAAGGCGACUUACUGGACACAUAUUGACGCUGAGGUGCGAAAGCGUGGGGAGCAAACAGG
rnacentral:rRNA from 1 species